rnacentral:rRNA from 1 species
GGCUUAAUUCGAUGCAACGCGAAGAACCUUACCCGGGUUUGACAUGUGACUGCACGGCCUGUGAAAGCAGGCCUCCUUCGAGGGUGGUCACACAGGUGCUGCAUGGCUGUCGUCAGUUCGUGCCGUGAGGUGUUUGGUUAAGUCCAGCAACGAACGCAACCCCUGUGUCCAGUUGCCAGCGCGCAAAGGCGGGAACUCUGGACAGACUGCCCGUUCACACGGGAGGAAGGUGGGGAUGACGUCAAGUCAGUAUGGCCCUUACAUCCGGGGCUGCAUACGUGCUACAAUGGCCGGCACAAAGGGAAGCUUGACCGCGAGGUUUGGCCAACCCCAAACCGGCCCCAGUUCAGAUUGGGGUCUGCAACCCGACCCCAUGAAGUCGGAUUUGCUAGUAACGGCGCAUCAGCUACGGCGCCGUGAAUACGUUCCCGGGCCUU